rnacentral:rRNA from 1 species
AUACGUAGGUGGCAAGCGUUGUCCGGAAUUAUUGGGCGUAAAGCGCGCGCAGGUGGUUCCUUAAGUCUGAUGUGAAAGCCCCCGGCUCAACCGGGGAGGGUCAUUGGAAACUGGGGAACUUGAGUGCAGAAGAGGAUAGUGGAAUUCCAAGUGUAGCGGUGAAAUGCGUAGAGAUUUGGAGGAACACCAGUGGCGAAGGCGACUGUCUGGUCUGUAACUGACACUGAGGCGCGAAAGCGUGGGGAGCAAACAGGAUUAGAUACCCUGGUAGUCCACGCCGUAAGCGAUGAGUGCUAAGUGUUGGGGGGUUUCCGCCCCUCAGUGCUGCAGCUAACGCAUUAAGCACUCCGCCUGGGGAGUACGGUCGCAAGACUGAAACUCAAAGGAAUUGGCGGGG